rnacentral:rRNA from 1 species
UGGGGAAUAUUGCACAAUGGGCGCAAGCCUGAUGCAGCCAUGCCGCGUGUAUGAAGAAGGCCUUCGGGUUGUAAAGUACUUUCAGCGGGGAGGAAGGCGUUGUGGUUAAUAACCACAGCGAUUGACGUUACCCGCAGAAGAAGCACCGGCUAACUCCGUGCCAGCAGCCGCGGUAAUACGGAGGGUGCAGGCGUUAAUCGGAAUUACUGGGCGUAAAGCGCACGCAGGCGGUCUGUUAAGUCAGAUGUGAAAUCCCCGGGCUCAACCUGGGAACUGCAUUUGAAACUGGCAGGCUUGAGUCUCGUAGAGGGGGGUAGAAUUCCAGGUGUAGCGGUGAAAUGCAUAGAGAUCUGGAGGAAUACCGGUGGCGAAGGCGGCCCCCUGGACGAAGACUGACGCUCAGGUGCGAAAGCGUGGGGAGCAAACA